rnacentral:tRNA from 1 species
GCUCGGAUGGUGGAAUUGGUAGACACGCCGGACUUAAAAUCCUGUGGCCAGAAAUGGCCGUACGGGUUCGAUUCCCGUUCCGAGCA